GCUUCUUUGAUUGGGUCAAGAUAUUCACGAUCCAAUCAAUUUUAUGAAAAUCAUAACUUGCGAAAUAGAAAUCGGCAGUAUCACUCGCCUGGAUCUGAUUAUAAUCAUGAUUAUCCAGGCCCUUAAUCUACUGGCACAAU